rnacentral:precursor_RNA from 15 species
CCCGCAGUGAAGGCCCCGCCCCCGCCAGGAUGAGGUAGUACGUUGUAUUGUUGUGGGGUCGGGAUUCGUGCCCCAAUCAGAGAUAACAAUACAACUUACUACUUUCCCCAGCGCCGGGCCCUCACCGGCAGGAGGAG